UUUUCCUCUGUUUUUUCUGCUCGCCGGAAAGUAUGGCGGAUGAGUUUGCAUCGUCGGUAGAUAUGGGGCUUCAGUUAACUAAACGGAUUUACUACGGUAAAAAUCCGCCGAAGCCACUUGUAAUGGAGAAAAAAUCAUCUGAGAUUAAUAACUUGCCGACGGCACCUAUGGUGUACGCCGUCGUUAGGGACCCAUCGAUGGUGGAUAAUCCUGAUAUUCCGAGCUAUCAACCGUAUGUUCACGGCCGUUGUGAUCCGCCGGCGUUGAUUCCGCUUGACAUGCAGGGGAUCGCAAUGGAGGUUGAUUGUUAUAUGGAUACUGCUUUUGUAACGGUCAACGGAACUUGGCGUGUGCACUGUAUUGCUUCUAGUCGAUAUUGCGAUUGUCGAAUCGCUGUACCAAUGGGAGAGCAGGGUUCAGUUCUAGGUGUGGAGAUUGAAACACCAUCAAGAUCGUAUUCCACCUUAUUGAUUGAAUCAAAUGAUACCAAAGAUGCCGGUUUAGUAGCCAAUGCUAAAGAUGGCUUCUUACUAAAUCGCCGGAUAUACACAUUAAAGGUCCCUCAGGUUGCUGGAGGUUCUAUUCUCUCCGUUAAAGUCAGUUGGUCACAGAAAAUACUGUAUCAAGAUGGUCAAUUUUCCUUUAGUAUACCUUUCAGUUUCCCGUGGUAUGUCAAUCCAAUUGCAAAACUAUUGUGCAAGAAAGAGAGGAUUCGGUUGAACGUGAACUCUGGUAUGGGGAAAGAGAUCAUAUGCGGAAGUUGCAGUCAUCCUUUAAAGGAAACAAGACGUUUGGUUGGUACUUUAGGAUUUUUAUAUGAGAGUGAAGUUCGGGCAUGGUCAAUGGAUGACUUCAGUUUCUCCUACAAAGUUCAUUCAAGUGAGAUCCUUGGGAGUGUGCUCCUGAACUCUGUGUCUAUGCUUGAUGUUGAUCAAAGAGAAAUGUUUUGCUUCAAUCUAUACCCACCGGCUGUCAAUACAAUGAAGGUUUUCAGGAAGGAAGUGGUAUAUGUUGUUGAUAUAAGUGCGAGCAUGCAAGGGAGGCCACUUGAGAAUAUUAAGUCUGCACUACUGGCUGCCCUCUCUAAACUCAGUCCAGCAGAUACUUUUAACAUCAUAGCUUUCAACGGGAAAAGCUUAUUGUUCUCAUCAUCCCUGAUGCUGUCAGGGAAGGAGUCAAUUGGAAAAGCAACUCAGUGGAUUGACCAAAAUUUCGUAGCUGAGGGAAGUACUGACAUUUCACUGCCUCUGAACCAGGCAAUAGAGAUGCUAUCGAAAAAUGGUGAUUCAAUUCCUCUUGUUUUUCUAAUUACCGACGGGUCUGUUGGAGAUGAAAGAGAAAUUUGUGAAGCCUUGAGAGGAAGGUUGAUGAAGAGCGGUUUGAAUUCUCCGCGAAUUUCGACCUUCGGCAUUGGUUUAUACUGUAAUCACUACUUCUUGCAAAUGCUUGCUCAAAUCGGAAGAGGUUACUAUGAUGCUGCAUAUGAUUUAGAUUCAAUCAGUUCUCGGCUGGAAAGACUACUUAAUGGGACAUCAUCGGUUAUUCUCGCAGACCUGAAAAUCGAAGCUCUGGAAAGUCUUGAUUCAUUUGAGCUAUAUCCAUGUUAUCUGCCGGACCUGUUGUCUUCAAGACCACUGAUUGUCUCUGGCAGAUUCAUCGGGACCUGCCCUGGUUCUGUUAAAGUUAGUGGCACGCUAGCAGAUUUGAGCAGUUUUGUGGUCAAUGUCAAAGUACAAAAAGCAAAGGAUCUUCCUUUGGAAAGAGUUUUUGCAAAGAGACAAAUUGAAACAAUAACUGGGAAUGCCUGGUUUUCCGGAAGCAAGCAACUAGAGGAGAUGGUUGCGAAAUUGAGCUUGCAAACUGGGGUGCCUUCAGAGUACACCAACUUGAUUUUGGUUGAAAAUUUAAAGGAGAAGCAGACGUCUAAAUUAGAGACAGUAGAUGAGGCCUCUGAUCAGUUGAAUGUCAAGAAGAUCAUAUACCUUCGAGCACUCGGUGUUGGUUUUGGGAACUUGAAGGCAACUGCAGACAAUCUUCCUGUGGAAGCAGCAGAACCUAAGUUGCAUGAAACAUCAGAAAUGGUAUUUGCCGCUGCUUCAAACUUAUGUGGCAAAUUAUGUGACUUUUGCUGUUGCAUGUGUUUCAUACAGUUCUGCUCUCGGGUUAGUGAUCAAUGUGCUGUGACAUUAGCACAAAUCUGUACAGCGCUCGCUUGUUUUGAGUGUAUUAGUUUUUGUUGUGAAGUAUGUGGAGACUGUGGCUAAUAUAUUACCACAGAUGUAGCAGAAAUUAAAUAUGGUUAGACUGUCACGCUAUUUAUAUGUAUAGUUGUAUUCAGAUGCGGACCCACACCAUAUGGUGGGGGUGCACGUGCACCUUGUAACUUUUAAAAAAAUUAUAUGUAUAUAUGUAUAUCUAUUUUGAAAAACUGGUAGAAAUUAAGAUAUAGGUAACAGUGCAUCCAUAAAAAGCAUAAAAGUGUCCUAGUGCAGUAGGUAAAAGCUAGAGUUACCAAUUUCUUGACCACUCUAGAUGCAGUGAACUUCUUGUAAUAAAAUUUAGA
rnacentral:misc_RNA from 1 species